rnacentral:lncRNA from 1 species
GGUCAUCAUUGCUUCUUUACUUUGUAACGUGUGAAUUGUAACUAUGCAUUCUGCAAAGGGGGGGUGGGAGGAGAGGGCAGAAAGGGGAAGGAAGUAGCUUUGUAUCCUUGUUCUACAGUUUCUGUGUCCAUGGUAUCCCCUCAAGCUGGCAGGGAAGGGGAGUGAGAGUAAGAAGCGGUAAGGUUGGCACAGUGAGGUAGAAAGAGACCUGUGAGUCCGGCCUGGCACCUCCUGGGGGGCCUGCAGCCCCUACCAGCCAGUGUGGUACAGGAUCUCCAUCCUAGCCGUGCGGUGUCAGCCUGGUGCAACAGGAGGGCCCCGAAGGCCCCCUGUUUUCUGGAAAAAAGUGCUCACCCUGUCCUGAACUCAGAACCCUUUCAAGCUCAGGAAACCUUGCCUCACGCGUGCUGACCUUAAUCUUUAUGUCAUUUCAGAAAAAACUCCUCCUCCUCCUCGCUCCAUUUUAAUUUUUCUUUCUUCUUUCUUAGUCAUUUUUAAGUGAAUUUAAUUGUAAGGAAACUUUCUUGCUCUAUGGGGAAGAGGUCUGUUGCUUGACAGGCAAACAGGGCUGCUCUUCCCUGUCCACUAGCCCUCCGCCAUACGUGGCCUCUCUGCUUCCCUUGCAGGUGUUAAGCUGUGUGUAGCUAGUGAGCAGUGAGGUGUUUGACACGGGAAAGCCCACAGCCUCCUCUGUCCUGACAGCAUCCCUCUGUUGACCCUUCCUGCAGUCAGUCGUGGCCCUUGCAUUGCUCUGGUCUAGGCAUUAUUGGCAACACACAGUAUCGGAAGCAAGAGACUGCCGUGCCUGGAGCCAGUGUUUCCCUGCAGCAGUUUUGCUGUUGAUGUUCACAGUACUGUAACUAGUAACAGACUUGAUCACAGUCUCCUCGUGCCCCUGCCAGCCUGCACAGGCACGAUCUCAUCAGGGUUCCAAUCUGUUAGAUUGCCUUUAGACAAAAAAGAAAACAAAAAAAUAAAAUUCUGACGUUUCAGCUGUCUAACACAAAACAAUACCUCGAGGUACAUUUCCCCUGCAGUGUAGACCCUUAACUCCCCUCCUUUUCUGACAUUGGUGGGUUAUCCUUGGAAAAAUAUGAACGUGUAGAUAGCAGGAUAACUUUUACAAUUUUUUCUUUGCUGUGAAAGUAACCCUAAAAUAUGAUGUUUUCCACUUUUUUUUAAAGGCAUCAGAAGUUUCAGAUCUUAUUCUUUCAUGUUUAAGAAGAGAAAGCAGAACAGGUCAGGGGAGUGGACUUGCAUUUGUGGGGUGAUGUUCUCUCCAUUGCCUCCCAUACACAGUGACGACAGACCAGUGUUUAAACCCUGCUCUGAAUAGAUGCCAUCUAUUCUAGCUCUAGUUCCAGAGUAGGGAGUGUCUGGAUUUCUCUCUUCCAGAAGAUCCAUCCCCUCCAGGGACUCCAGAAUGUUUUCUCCUGAGACCUUGAGUUCUCAACCUUUCUUGGUUCAAACACACACACACACACGCACGCACACACACACACAUACUUUGAGUAACUGAGUAGCAUUCUGUAGAUCAUAAAGAGAAUCAGUCCCUAGCAUUUCAAUUUUGUGCUGUAGAAUUCAUAGCCGUGUCGCUUUGCGAUGCUCUGGAAAUGAAUUGAUUUCUUACUUAGAAGGAAUCAUCUGAGACGUGCAGGCAACCUCCCUGAAAGGCCCGCGCACCCUCAGGUGUCCCUCCCUCCACAAGGCUUGAAGCUGACUUUAGGUAGAGGUAAAUAAGUUUAACGAGUGCUGCUUGUAGGGAUCUGUCAGCUACUGCUCUCCUAGAUUUGGCCGCUCAUGAGGCAGGACCAGAAUAGAUCAUUUUGAAUAGCUUCUUCGCAAACCCCCUAGCUCCCCCCAUCUUAAAGAUAAACCCUGUAUCUGUCAGGAAGCCCUUUUUAGGUUGGGCUCGCUGAUCUUUGUCUACUGACGACUUCCUUUGAGGGAAGAAGCUUGAUGAUAAAUGCACGCAUAUCCACCACCCACCUUCUGAUCUGGGCGCUGUCGACCUGCGGAUUUUAUUUCUGUUGUUUGUGUGGAAGCCCCUUUUCUAUCAGUCUCCUUCCUCUGGUCCCUCCUGAGUUUUUCCUGCCCUUCUGUCCCUCUGCGAUGCUCCCAAAGGGCUCUGCUGAUCUCUGCACUUCUGUCCUGGGACACUCCCCCCCACCACCCUUUGCACACACCAGUGACCAAAGUGUGUCCAGUGAUCUCACAGAAGACAUAAAAAAUGGUGCAUGCACCGUGAAUGUGCUCACAGAGACACGUGCACAAGAUUCUGCACCCUUGGCCUUAACCUCAGUAUGACUUAAGGUGCAGGAACAUUUUUAACAGGUUUAAAAAAAACAAAAAAACCCUUCCUGGAGGAAAAAAAAAAGCAGACGCAACGGCUCAACCAUGCCCACUCCUAACUCUCCACUAUUUGCUUAUGACUUAACUCUGUGCCCACCCCACCCCUCCCUGUUUCGAGUAACCAAAAACAGAUAACAGAAGCAACCCGAGGAGAGGUUUCUGGACUAUUUUUUCUUUCUCCAUUUAGAUGGAGAUAUAUAUGCUGCUUUGGGUUCCAUAAUCCUAGGGGGCUAUGUUUACAUAGUAAAAUACAUCCUACCAAAUCAGGAAACUGAAUAUGGGAAUCUCUGCAAUGAGAGUUAGGUCACUGAUGGUGAACAAGAGAAGUGAGGGCCCUGGGGGAUGGCGCAGAGGAAAGACGGAGCAGUACCACCUGACGGCCUGGGACGCGUUGCUCCUCCCUUCGCUUCUCUCCUUGCCCCCUUUCACAGAAGGUGCAGAAAAGGGCAUCAGAAAGAGGCUGGAUCUUUCAAAGGCAGCUUUCCAACUUUGCACACAAACAGGUAACAGGAAGGUACAGCAAAAAUCCUCUCAUCUGAAACACUGUCUGCAGAAACAAAACCUGUAAACAUGACUAAAUAGCUGCACAAUUUUGAUGCUCUCUGCAAGUUACCUAGAAGUGUUUUGUUUUUCUUAUACUUGAAAUAGCUUUUACAAUGUUAUUUUGGUGGCUUUCUUUUCUCUCUACUGGUGGGCCAUAGAGAAAGUGGAUGACGGGAUUUAAGGAAGUUUGAGGGGAGAAAAGGGAGGAUAUGGCAUUGUCUUUUUUUUUUUUCUCUCUUAAACAUAGAGGUUUAAUCAAACUCCCAUAUGUUGAAAUUGCUCCUCAUAUGACUGGUUUUACAUGGACACAGAAACUAGGCACUUUAGAGGUGCACUUGCAUGGCAGGCUGGGCCCCCCUUUUCUAUAUUUUAUUUUACUUUUUUAGUAUAGUGGUACUUAAAAUCACUGGUUCACUUAAAAAACAAUAAAAUGUUAAACUCUACUAAUGUACAAAUAAGCUGAAAAGUUGCAUUUUAUGUGUAUUUUUUGCCAUAGCAGGUACUGUAUUUCUCAUGCUGGAUUUC